rnacentral:rRNA from 1 species
AUUGAACGCUGGCGGCAGGCCUAACACAUGCAAGUCGAACGAAGUCUUCGGACUUAGUGGCGGACGGGUGAGUAACACGUGGGAACGUGCCUUUAGGUUCGGAAUAACUCAGGGAAACUUGUGCUAAUACCGAAUGUGCCCUUCGGGGGAAAGAGUUAUCGCCUUUAGAGCGGCCCGCGUCUGAUUAGCUAGUUGGUGGGGUAAAGGCUCCCCAAGGCUACGAUCAGUAGCCGGUCUGAGAGGAUGACCAGCAACAUUGGGACUGAGACACGGCCCAAACUCCUACGGGAGGCAGCAGUGGGGAAUCUUGCGCAAUGGGCGAAAGCCUGACGCAGCCAUGCCGCGUGGAUGAUGAAGGUCUUAGGAUUGUAAAAUCCUUUCACCGGUGAAGAUAAUGACUGUAGCCGGAGAAGAAGCCCCGGCUAACUUCGUGCCAGCCGCCGCGGUAA